UGCCCCAUAGCUCAAUGGCAGAGCAAGGCGCUGUUAACGCCGGGGUUGUAGGUUCAAAUCCUACUGGGGCAG
rnacentral:tRNA from 1 species